rnacentral:rRNA from 1 species
CCCUUAGAGUUUGAUCCUGGCUCAGGAUGAACGCUAGCUACAGGCUUAACACAUGCAAGUCGAGGGGAAACGAUAUUGGAAGCUUGCUUCCGAUAGGCGUCGACCGGCGCACGGGUGAGUAACGCGUAUCCAACCUGCCCAUCACUUGGGGAUAACCUUGCGAAAGUAAGACUAAUACCCAAUGAUAUCUCAAGAAGACAUCUGAAUGAGAUUAAAGAUUUAUCGGUGAUGGAUGAGGAUGCGUCUGAUUAGCUUGUUGGCGGGGUAACGGCCCACCAAGGCGACGAUCAGUAGGGGUUCUGAGAGGAAGGUCCCCCACAUUGGAACUGAGACACGGUCCAAACUCCUACGGGAGGCAGCAGUGAGGAAUAUUGGUCAAUGGGCGAGAGCCUGAACCAGCCAAGUAGCGUGCAGGAUGACGGCCCUAUGGGUUGUAAACUGCUUUUAUAAGGGAAUAAAGUGAGUCUCGUGAGGCUUUUUGCAUGUACCUUAUGAAUAAGGACCGGCUAAUUCCGUGCCAGCAGCCGCGGUAAUACGGAAGGUCCGGGCGUUAUCCGGAUUUAUUGGGUUUAAAGGGAGCGUAGGCCGGAGAUUAAGCGUGUUGUGAAAUGUAGAUGCUCAACGUCUGCACUGCAGCGCGAACUGGUUUCCUUGAGUACGCACAAAGUGGGCGGAAUUCGUGGUGUAGCGGUGAAAUGCUUAGAUAUCACGAAGAACUCCGAUUGCGAAGGCAGCUCACUGGAGCGCAACUGACGCUGAAGCUCGAAAGUGCGGGUAUCGAACAGGAUUAGAUACCCUGGUAGUCCGCACGGUAAACGAUGGAUGCCCGCUGUUGGUCUGAAUAGGUCAGCGGCCAAGCGAAAGCAUUAAGCAUCCCACCUGGGGAGUACGCCGGCAACGGUGAAACUCAAAGGAAUUGACG